CCCGAGAUCAGAGCCUUGGAUUGCAUGUUAAGGGAGUGAAAACACAAUCUGUCCCAAAUUCUGCAGCGAGUCACCCAAGGGAGGCAGGCGGUGCAGCACACAGCAUAGUGUGUCUGUGCGUUAUUUUGGAUUUAAAAGUAAGGGAGGGGAUCUUUCACCUCUUUCUCACACACUGUCUCUCUUUACGAGUCACUUGUGACCACGAGGGGCGGGACCAGAGAUGCUCCAUGUCAUAUUUGAGGUCAAUAAGGUGCAAUUCAAUGACAAGACAAGCCAGAGCUCAGAGCGUGGGGGCUCAAAGGACAGACAACAUAUUAAUACUGAGAGCCUGACAGAGUGCGUCGAGGGGUUAGUAAGGUUAGAUUACAGAGACACACUAAAACACAUGUAAGCCUCUACUGCACGCCAGUGGUCAGAAGAGUGAUAUGCAAACUUAUGGAGAGGUGAGUACAUUCAUGGACAAUCUCAGUCUAUUAUUUGAAAAUAAAUCCAGAUUUUUUUUUUCUUCAAAAAAUUGUUCGAAAGUUAAGUAGGAACUGAGAAGCGUUUAGUCCAAGCUCGCUCAACAAGUAGCAAAAUAGUCUUAGGUUUGUUCGAGAGUUUUGUUCGUAUCCCUCUGAGGAAGGUUAGACAGCUUAGCGACAAAAUACUCACUCGGUCGUGACAUCGAAAUCAAACAUCGUCUUCACCUGCAGCAGGUGGACCGGGACUUGACACGACUGCAUCGAAAAACAACGAACAUCUGAACGCGUGUAAAACAAUACCAAAAUGCUCUACCCUUAUCGGCAUGCAAAGAUUUGUCUCCGAAAAAUGAACAACACACACUUCCUAAAUGGUUUUUCUUUUUUUGUUUCUUUGAUUUUUUUUUUUUGUCCACGCUUCACUUUGAUAUCAUGCAAUAUAGACGUGCAAAAAAGAUAACAUCUAUUUCCACAAAAUACAUCUUCAUCGUAACUAUAAAAGGCUGUGUUUAAGAAUGCUAUCUAGUCACAUUUUUUUUUUAGCAUUAUUAUGCUAACCUAUCACUAUAUUGAUACUCUAGCCCCAGAGUCAUAGUGCUGUUGCAUCCUGGGAAGAGUAGUUCCCAGAGGACAGGCUAACACUUGGCUAACAUGGCGGUCCCUCGUCUUGUGGCAGGAGUGAAGAGGGAUUGAACAAACUGCUAUACUGAAGCGCUUUGUCUGUUAGUGUACCUAGUUCUCAAAAACUGACCCCCUAUGUAUUGAUUUAUAAAUAUGGUUCAUUUGGCACUUUUCACAUUUUCUUAAUAUAAAAGUAUGUCUCCUCUUACCUAAUGUGAUUUAAAUCAACACAUUUACAGUUCUGUUUUGGCACAGGUUUUACUUGUUCAGGUUAAAAUUAUGCUCUUAUUAACUUAUUGUCAGCUUAUAACAGAGCGUGUAUUACACUGCUUGCAACUAGCCUCUCCAGCUAAAGGACAGAUUUCGAUAUGUUUUUACCUUGUAUUUUUUUCUUGUUAUUAUUAUUAAAUAGCAGCAUCUUCCACAAAUUGAAAAAAAAAUUACUCGUGUAAACCUAUCCAACAUCUACGGGUAAAUCCAAAAGCUCCUACGGCACACAGAGGAUAAGGGACGGGACGACACAACAUGUAUUGCUUCUAGUACUUGUCACAUUUUAUCUCAAUCCCCUAACGUUAUGAUAACUAAAGAGAUUAGCUGCUGUGUAAAAGAC
ensembl:lncRNA